rnacentral:misc_RNA from 1 species
CCGAGCUUACAACUCCCAAACCCCUGUGAACAUACCUAUCGUUGCUUCGGCGGGAUGCCCCAGUUUGACGCAAGCUGGACCCAGGCGCCCGCCGGAGGACCCAAACUCUUGUUUUAUUUAUGUAUCUUCCGAGUAAACAAGCAAAUAAAUUA